rnacentral:rRNA from 1 species
GAUUAUUAGAAUCUAUAAGUAUUUUAGCUCACGAAGUAGAAUAGCUAAAAACUUGAGUAUAUUAGUACUUAUAUUAGAUGUAGCAAUAUUUAAUGAUUAGUAGUUUUUAGGAGAGAAACUCUUUCCAAUUCUUACGAUAUCUUGAUGCUACCAAAAUAUAUAUAGUAUAGAGUCAUACUAAAAAUGGUUAGGUUUUUAGUUAUCAUCUUUAGUAGAGUUUAAUGUUUAAUUUACUUAAUAGUUUUUAAUUUAAUAUAAAAAUCAUUAAUUAUUGUUUAUAGAAUGGUUAUUAGGUAACUUUAUAUAUCCUUUAUUUUAUAUAUUAAAAAUGUAAUUAUCAGUAUUUACUGUAAAAUUAAAUAAGUAACUCGGCAACUAGCUUCUCAACUGUUUACCAAAAACAUUGCCCAAAGAGAUUAUUUUGGGUUCACUCUGCUCAAUGAUAUUAAAUAGCCGCAGUAACUUGACUGUGCAAAGGUAGCAUAAUCAAUUGGCCUUUAAUUGGGGUCUUGUAUGAAUGGGAACCUGGGGAGCAACUGUCUCAUUUAUUUAUAAUGAAGUUACUAAAUAGGUGAAAAUCCCUAUAGAAAUAUAUUAGACGAGAAGACCCUAGAAAUUUUAUAAAAGUAACAUGGCUAUUUUGUUGGGGCGACAGAGUAACAAUAAAAACUUACUUAAAACUAUAAGAUAUAAUUGUGAGGUAUAAUUAAAUUACUCUAGGGAUAACAGCAUAAUUCUAUAGAGUUUGUGACCUCGAUGUUGGACUAGGUAUAAAUAUUUUUUAAAAGAAAAUAUUAAAGCUCUGUUCGAGCAAUUUUACCUACAUGAUCUGAGUUCAGACCGG